rnacentral:rRNA from 1 species
AGCGUACACGGUGGAUGCCCUGGCAGUCAGAGGCGAUGAAGGACGUGCUAAUCUGCGAUAAGCGUCGGUAAGGUGAUAUGAACCGUUAUAACCGGCGAUUUCCGAAUGGGGAAACCCAGUGUGUUUCGACACACUAUCAUUAACUGAAUCCAUAGGUUAAUGAGGCGAACCGGGGGAACUGAAACAUCUAAGUACCCCGAGGAAAAGAAAUCAACCGAGAUUCCCCCAGUAGCGGCGAGCGAACGGGGAGCAGCCCAGAGCCUGAAUCAGUGUGUGUGUUAGUGGAAGCGUCUGGAAAGGCGCGCGAUACAGGGUGACAGCCCCGUACACAAAAAUGCACAUACUGUGAGCUCGAUGAGUAGGGCGGGACACGUGGUAUCCUGUCUGAAUAUGGGGGGACCAUCCUCCAAGGCUAAAUACUCCUGACUGACCGAUAGUGAACCAGUACCGUGAGGGAAAGGCGAAAAGAACCCCGGCGAGGGGAGUGAAAAAGAACCUGAAACCGUGUACGUACAAGCAGUGGGAGCACGCUUAGGCGUGUGACUGCGUACCUUUUGUAUAAUGGGUCAGCGACUUAUAUUCUGUAGCAAGGUUAACCGAAUAGGGGAGCCGAAGGGAAACCGAGUCUUAACUGGGCGUUAAGUUGCAGGGUAUAGACCCGAAACCCGGUGAUCUAGCCAUGGGCAGGUUGAAGGUUGGGUAACACUAACUGGAGGACCGAACCGACUAAUGUUGAAAAAUUAGCGGAUGACUUGUGGCUGGGGGUGAAAGGCCAAUCAAACCGGGAGAUAGCUGGUUCUCCCCGAAAGCUAUUUAGGUAGCGCCUCGUGAAUUCAUCUCCGGGGGUAGAGCACUGUUUCGGCAAGGGGGUCAUCCCGACUUACCAACCCGAUGCAAACUGCGAAUACCGGAGAAUGUUAUCACGGGAGACACACGGCGGGUGCUAACGUCCGUCGUGAAGAGGGAAACAACCCAGACCGCCAGCUAAGGUCCCAAAGUCAUGGUUAAGUGGGAAACGAUGUGGGAAGGCCCAGACAGCCAGGAUGUUGGCUUAGAAGCAGCCAUCAUUUAAAGAAAGCGUAAUAGCUCACUGGUCGAGUCGGCCUGCGCGGAAGAUGUAACGGGGCUAAACCAUGCACCGAAGCUGCGGCAGCGACGCUUAUGCGUUGUUGGGUAGGGGAGCGUUCUGUAAGCCUGUGAAGGUGUGCUGUGAGGCAUGCUGGAGGUAUCAGAAGUGCGAAUGCUGACAUAAGUAACGAUAAAGCGGGUGAAAAGCCCGCUCGCCGGAAGACCAAGGGUUCCUGUCCAACGUUAAUCGGGGCAGGGUGAGUCGACCCCUAAGGCGAGGCCGAAAGGCGUAGUCGAUGGGAAACAGGUUAAUAUUCCUGUACUUGGUGUUACUGCGAAGGGGGGACGGAGAAGGCUAUGUUGGCCGGGCGACGGUUGUCCCGGUUUAAGCGUGUAGGCUGGUUUUCCAGGCAAAUCCGGAAAAUCAAGGCUGAGGCGUGAUGACGAGGCACUACGGUGCUGAAGCAACAAAUGCCCUGCUUCCAGGAAAAGCCUCUAAGCAUCAGGUAACAUCAAAUCGUACCCCAAACCGACACAGGUGGUCAGGUAGAGAAUACCAAGGCGCUUGAGAGAACUCGGGUGAAGGAACUAGGCAAAAUGGUGCCGUAACUUCGGGAGAAGGCACGCUGAUAUGUAGGUGAAGUCCCUCGCGGAUGGAGCUGAAAUCAGUCGAAGAUACCAGCUGGCUGCAACUGUUUAUUAAAAACACAGCACUGUGCAAACACGAAAGUGGACGUAUACGGUGUGACGCCUGCCCGGUGCCGGAAGGUUAAUUGAUGGGGUCAGCGCAAGCGAAGCUCUUGAUCGAAGCCCCGGUAAACGGCGGCCGUAACUAUAACGGUCCUAAGGUAGCGAAAUUCCUUGUCGGGUAAGUUCCGACCUGCACGAAUGGCGUAAUGAUGGCCAGGCUGUCUCCACCCGAGACUCAGUGAAAUUGAACUCGCUGUGAAGAUGCAGUGUACCCGCGGCAAGACGGAAAGACCCCGUGAACCUUUACUAUAGCUUGACACUGAACAUUGAGCCUUGAUGUGUAGGAUAGGUGGGAGGCUUUGAAGUGUGGACGCCAGUCUGCAUGGAGCCGACCUUGAAAUACCACCCUUUAAUGUUUGAUGUUCUAACGUUGACCCGUAAUCCGGGUUGCGGACAGUGUCUGGUGGGUAGUUUGACUGGGGCGGUCUCCUCCUAAAGAGUAACGGAGGAGCACGAAGGUUGGCUAAUCCUGGUCGGACAUCAGGAGGUUAGUGCAAUGGCAUAAGCCAGCUUGACUGCGAGCGUGACGGCGCGAGCAGGUGCGAAAGCAGGUCAUAGUGAUCCGGUGGUUCUGAAUGGAAGGGCCAUCGCUCAACGGAUAAAAGGUACUCCGGGGAUAACAGGCUGAUACCGCCCAAGAGUUCAUAUCGACGGCGGUGUUUGGCACCUCGAUGUCGGCUCAUCACAUCCUGGGGCUGAAGUAGGUCCCAAGGGUAUGGCUGUUCGCCAUUUAAAGUGGUACGCGAGCUGGGUUUAGAACGUCGUGAGACAGUUCGGUCCCUAUCUGCCGUGGGCGCUGGAGAACUGAGGGGGGCUGCUCCUAGUACGAGAGGACCGGAGUGGACGCAUCACUGGUGUUCGGGUUGUCAUGCCAAUGGCACUGCCCGGUAGCUAAAUGCGGAAGAGAUAAGUGCUGAAAGCAUCUAAGCACGAAACUUGCCCCGAGAUGAGUUCUCCCUGACUCCUUGA